GAUAAGCGUCGGUGAGGUGAUAUGAACCGUUAUAACCGGCGAUUUCCGAAUGGGGAAACCCAGUGUGUUUCGACACACUAUCAUUAACUGAAUCCAUAGGUUAAUGAGGCGAACCGGGGGAACUGAAACAUCUAAGUACCCCGAGGAAAAGAAAUCAACCGAGAUUCCCCCAGUAGCGGCGAGCGAACGGGGAGGAGCCCAGAGCCUGAAUCAGUGUGUGUGUUAGUGGAAGCGUCUGGAAAGGCGCGCGAUACAGGGUGACAGCCCCGUACACAAAAAUGCACAUAUUGUGAGCUCGAUGAGUAGGGCGGGACACGUGGUAUCCUGUCUGAAUAUGGGGGGACCAUCCUCCAAGGCUAAAUACUCCUGACUGACCGAUAGUGAACCAGUACCGUGAGGGAAAGGCGAAAAGAACCCCGGCGAGGGGAGUGAAAAAGAACCUGAAACCGUGUACGUACAAGCAGUGGGAGCCUCUUAAUGGGGUGACUGCGUACCUUUUGUAUAAUGGGUCAGCGACUUAUAUUCUGUAGCAAGGUUAACCGAAUAGGGGAGCCGAAGGGAAACCGAGUCUUAACUGGGCGUUAAGUUGCAGGGUAUAGACCCGAAACCCGGUGAUCUAGCCAUGGGCAGGUUGAAGGUUGGGUAACACUAACUGGAGGACCGAACCGACUAAUGUUGAAAAAUUAGCGGAUGACUUGUGGCUGGGGGUGAAAGGCCAAUCAAACCGGGAGAUAGCUGGUUCUCCCCGAAAGCUAUUUAGGUAGCGCCUCGUGAAUUCAUCUCCGGGGGUAGAGCACUGUUUCGGCAAGGGGGUCAUCCCGACUUACCAACCCGAUGCAAACUGCGAAUACCGGAGAAUGUUAUCACGGGAGACACACGGCGGGUGCUAACGUCCGUCGUGAAGAGGGAAACAACCCAGACCGCCAGCUAAGGUCCCAAAGUCAUGGUUAAGUGGGAAACGAUGUGGGAAGGCCCAGACAGCCAGGAUGUUGGCUUAGAAGCAGCCAUCAUUUAAAGAAAGCGUAAUAGCUCACUGGUCGAGUCGGCCUGCGCGGAAGAUGUAACGGGGCUAAACCAUGCACCGAAGCUGCGGCAGCGACACUAUGUGUUGUUGGGUAGGGGAGCGUUCUGUAAGCCUGUGAAGGUGGCCUGUGAGGGUUGCUGGAGGUAUCAGAAGUGCGAAUGCUGACAUAAGUAACGAUAAAGCGGGUGAAAAGCCCGCUCGCCGGAAGACCAAGGGUUCCUGUCCAACGUUAAUCGGGGCAGGGUGAGUCGACCCCUAAGGCGAGGCCGAAAGGCGUAGUCGAUGGGAAACAGGUUAAUAUUCCUGUACUUGGUGUUACUGCGAAGGGGGGACGGAGAAGGCUAUGUUGGCCGGGCGACGGUUGUCCCGGUUUAAGCGUGUAGGCUGGUUUUCCAGGCAAAUCCGGAAAAUCAAGGCUGAGGCGUGAUGACGAGGCACUACGGUGCUGAAGCGACAAAUGCCCUGCUUCCAGGAAAAGCCUCUAAGCAUCAGGUAACAUCAAAUCGUACCCCAAACCGACACAGGUGGUCAGGUAGAGAAUACCAAGGCGCUUGAGAGAACUCGGGUGAAGGAACUAGGCAAAAUGGUGCCGUAACUUCGGGAGAAGGCACGCUGAUAUGUAGGUGAAGCGACUUGCUCGUGGAGCUGAAAUCAGUCGAAGAUACCAGCUGGCUGCAACUGUUUAUUAAAAACACAGCACUGUGCAAACACGAAAGUGGACGUAUACGGUGUGACGCCUGCCCGGUGCCGGAAGGUUAAUUGAUGGGGUUAGCGGUAACGCGAAGCUCUUGAUCGAAGCCCCGGUAAACGGCGGCCGUAACUAUAACGGUCCUAAGGUAGCGAAAUUCCUUGUCGGGUAAGUUCCGACCUGCACGAAUGGCGUAAUGAUGGCCAGGCUGUCUCCACCCGAGACUCAGUGAAAUUGAACUCGCUGUGAAGAUGCAGUGUACCCGCGGCAAGACGGAAAGACCCCGUGAACCUUUACUAUAGCUUGACACUGAACAUUGAGCCUUGAUGUGUAGGAUAGGUGGGAGGCUUUGAAGUGUGGACGCCAGUCUGCAUGGAGCCGACCUUGAAAUACCACCCUUUAAUGUUUGAUGUUCUAACGUGGGCCCCUUACCGGGGUUGCGGACAGUGUCUGGUGGGUAGUUUGACUGGGGCGGUCUCCUCCUAAAGAGUAACGGAGGAGCACGAAGGUUGGCUAAUCCUGGUCGGACAUCAGGAGGUUAGUGCAAUGGCAUAAGCCAGCUUGACUGCGAGCGUGACGGCGCGAGCAGGUGCGAAAGCAGGUCAUAGUGAUCCGGUGGUUCUGAAUGGAAGGGCCAUCGCUCAACGGAUAAAAGGUACUCCGGGGAUAACAGGCUGAUACCGCCCAAGAGUUCAUAUCGACGGCGGUGUUUGGCACCUCGAUGUCGGCUCAUCACAUCCUGGGGCUGAAGUAGGUCCCAAGGGUAUGGCUGUUCGCCAUUUAAAGUGGUACGCGAGCUGGGUUUAGAACGUCGUGAGACAGUUCGGUCCCUAUCUGCCGUGGGCGCUGGAGAACUGAGGGGGGCUGCUCCUAGUACGAGAGGACCGGAGUGGACGCAUCACUGGUGUUCGGGUUGUCAUGCCAAUGGCACUGCCCGGUAGCUAAAUGCGGAAGAGAUAAGUGCUGAAAGCAUCUAAGCACGAAACUUGCCCCGAGAUGAGUUCUCCCUGACUCCUUGAGAGUCCUGAAGGAACGUUGAAGACGACGACGUUGAUAGGCCGGGUGUGUAAGCGCAGCGAUGCGUUGAGCUAACCGGUACUAAUGAACCGUGAGGCUUAACCUU
rnacentral:rRNA from 1 species